CCUACGGGAGGCAGCAGUGAGGAAUAUUGGUCAAUGGCCGCAGGGCUGAACCAGCCAAGUCGCGUGAGGGAUGACGGUCCUAUGGAUUGUAAACCUCUUUUGUCAGGGAGCAAAGGGCGCCACGUGUGGCGCUUUGCGAGUACCUGAAGAAAAAGCAUCGGCUAACUCCGUGCCAGCAGCCGCGGUAAUACGGAGGAUGCGAGCGUUAUCCGGAUUUAUUGGGAUUAACGGGUGCGCAGGCGGAAUGUCAAGUCAGCGGUAAAAUUUCGGGGCUCAACCCCGUCGUGCCGUUGAAACUGUCGUUAUUGAGUGAGCGAGAAGUAUGCGGAAUGCGUGGUGUAGCGGUGAAAUGCAUAGAUAUCACGCAGAACUCCGAUUGCGAAGGCAGCAUACCGGCGCUCAACUGACGCGCAUGCACGAAAGCGUGGGUAUCGAACAGGAUUAGAUACCCGUGUAGUC
rnacentral:rRNA from 1 species